rnacentral:tRNA from 1 species
GUCUCGUCGACUGUAAGUAAACAAGCAAGCGCCUGUAGCUCAGUGGAUAGAGCGUCUGUUUCCUAAGCAGAAAGUCGUAGGUUCGACCCCUACCUGGCGCGUA